UCUGGCUUUCUGGCCAGAUUUCCUCGGGAAGGUGAGGUGUGGCCGGCACUGUGUGCGAGCGCCGGGAGGGGCCGCACACCCCGCCUCGGGCCGGCAGGCCCGGCUGGCCCGCGGCCAGGGCGCCCGACGCCAGGCCCGGCUCUCGCGGUGGGAGCGGCCGCCGGCGGCCACACAAUGGCAUUAUCUCGGGCCAGCGCGCUGCAGGGACCCGCCGCUUCCUGCCCCCGCAUCGCGGCACAGGCUGUCCCAGGGCCCACCGCCUUCGGACACGCUCUCCGGCGCUCCGUCGCCAAGCUCGGUAGGGAAACGUCUAAAGCCACUUCUUCCUUGGGAAUUGCAGACGCUGCGAUGCUGUCACGCAUUGUAUUUUUAUCCCCGCUGGAAGGACGCGCGGUCAUGAGUCACCUGGGGGAAGGGACGAACUCGCCGAGCAGUUUAUGUAACGCAGGCGACCGCUGGGGCUUCUGAGCGCCGGGAAGACAGACACAUCCUCAAAGGGACCUGAGCCCCGCACCCCGCGCCAUUUACUCCUGAGGGCCCGUCGUCGCGCCCUGCCACCCACUCCUGAAUCCCUGAGCUCCUCUGAUGCCAGGACAGCACAGAGGCUGCCACGGGAGAGGAAAACCUGGCGAAGGUGCUGGAGGGGCUUGCCUUUCACCUCCAGUCGUUAGCGUCCACACUGAGGAGGGACUCUCAAACACAGCCCCUGGAUUAAAUUAUAAAAAAUGUGAAAGUCCUUAAACCCCGGUCCCACCAAUGUGCUGCACAGGACAAGAAAGACGAGAUUUUGUUUUGUUUUGUUUUACUGGCAUCCUUGGCUUUGGACUAUUGCGAUUAGAUUCUUAAACAACAGACGAGGUCUUUCUAACUACACGCCUGUGCCAGAAACUUCAGCAACCUGCUCCCAGAAAUCAGGGGUUUAAUCCAAGAGUUACCAGAAAUGCUCUUAAACCUUCUGCUUCCGGGUCAGGAAGUUUCUGGCAGCCGUGGACUCCGCUCCUUGAGGAUUGUUGGACCAGACUGGUUUCAGGGGAGCCGAACCGUCUGCUUUGUGCUCAGUGACAAUUCCUGCUCCUGUAGUGCAAACCUGGUUUCAGGAGACCUGGGCGGAGGGGUUAGCCCUUCACGCCUAGACGGCUUCCUAGACGGCUUUUCUCCCUCACCAUGACCCGUGAAGAUCCCUUCUGUCCUCGCUUUUGUGGAAAUGACCAGGCUUUUUUUGGCCUGGACUCAGCAGAAUGCAGGCCAGUGUUUAACAACCAGCAACAAACAGCCCUGAUCAGACGUUUGUCAUGGCCUUUAGUGGGACAGGCCUAGAAAUGUAGAAUUUUUUAAACCAUGAAAGCUUUGCAGCAUACAGAAAAAUACAGGGAAUCUUACAAUAAAUGUGCCGGUACUCACCAGCCACCUUUGAUAAAAUCUGGACAUUUUGUGAUGUUUACUUGAGAGUUUGCUUUUAAAGAAACAGUUGAGGACAGCGUGGUCCCCUCCCCUCUCUCCCUGCACAGAGGUGAUUGCUGUCUGAACUUUGGCGUUUGUCUUUCCCGCCUGCUGGAUGGAUGUUCUCCCACGUGUUCACUGCUGUGUAAAGGCUGGCAUUGACUCUGAUGAGUCAGUACAAGCUUUUCAAUAUUUUUGAAUGCCACCCUUGCCUGCAUGUUUCCAAGCCUCGGGAAGCAGUACCUCAUACACCCCAGGCUGCCUCCUUUUUGGAGACUGAAAACCACGAAGAGGGAGGGACCCGGAGCUGUGGCCCCGGCCGUGGCCCGGAAACACCCAGUCCUGCGUGGGUGGUCCUGCUUCCCGGACCCCUAGGAGAGAGGCCAGCUGCCAGUAGUCUGUUUUUAUAUAUGGGCCAACGUACGAGGGGAAACAAAGAUUUCCGGAGCAUAGUGUGCCUUCCCCAGUGAAAAAUCAGUCUUUGGAACUCUUGUUCAGGAAGAGCUCGUUCUGCUGGUAUGCACCCUGGGGGAUCUGAGCCCGGAGCUGCUGGGGGCCACCUGGACGUGGACCCUGGACCUGCGGAGAGAGACGGGCCAACCGAGCAGAGCCUGGGUCACACACACCUCUGUCACGUCGGCCACUGAGACUCAGGUUUGCCCGAGCCGUGUCACCCCCAGUCUGUUCAGUUACACAGGCCCUUUUUUGUUUAAAUCCAUCUGAGCUGAUAUCUUUCUUUUUAACAAAAGAGACAUGACUCCCACAGAUGGCCAUAUGAGACCCUGGCUUCUCCUUGUCUUUUGAAGAUUCCAUAAGGAAUCUCUUACAUCCAGACUUUUGCACAAGGACCAACUGUCUAGAAGAUGCCUGAGGCCCUGUUGCCAGGGAAUUCUCCAUCAGUUUAUCCACACGAUUCUUCAAACUUCCAGGCUCUGGCCAAACGGGCGACUGAGAGUGGAGAGAACAGGCCCACCUCCCUGGAUAUUCGAGCUGAACUGAGACUCCUUUAUCCACCAAACUUAUCAGAUUUGAUACUCUCCAACUCCUGACCUGUAUCACCUUUUGAGAGAUAAGGAAAGACUGUGGAGCGUCUACUGAGAACCUGUGGGACUGAAUUUCCUUACUGAUAAUUCUCAUCACCUCAAAUAUGCCUCUGCUCUCCUGACAUAAUCUGUGAUUUUAGAACAUGCCUUUUCUUUUGUC